CAUGAUUCUCUCUAUUUUUUCCAGUCACCAUGAAAGAAAAAAUUAUUUAGAAAUUCCAACUCUGAGAAUGCUCAGAAAGAUGGCAAGUUUUACAGAUGAAAAGCCAUCAAUGGAUUUCUAAAUUCCACAGAUUUGUCAUGUGCAGAGCUAUUGGAUCAGAUGCUGUGAGCUAAAGUGAGAUCACCUGCUGGCUGACACCUUUAGCCUGGUUUAGAAAUAGAGUACUCCUGUCAACACUGCUCUUAGGUGAAUGUGUAGACUCACUGACAUGAAAACUUCCUAAGUUAUAUUUGCCCAAGCAAACCCCACUGAGGAAUGAUCUGGGCUGUAAGCACCAGCCUAUGGCA
rnacentral:lncRNA from 1 species